rnacentral:rRNA from 1 species
UACGGAGGAUGCGAGCGUCAUCCGGAUUUAUUGGGUUUAAAGGGUGCGUAGGCGGGAUGCCAAGUCAGCGGUAAAAAUGCGGUGCUCAACGCCGUCGAGCCGUUGAAACUGGCGUUCUUGAGUGGGCGAGAAGUAUGCGGAAUGCGUGGUGUAGCGGUGAAAUGCAUAGAUAUCACGCAGAACUCCGAUUGCGAAGGCAGCAUACCGGCGCCCUACUGACGCUGAGGCACGAAAGCGUGGGUAUCGAACAGG